GUCGUACCGAUGGAUACGCCACGCUUUGCUGGGGGAUUAGUGGCGAACGGGUGAGUAACACGUGAGUAACCUGCCCUUGACUCUGGGAUAAGCCUGGGAAACUGGGUCUAAUACCGGAUACGACCAUCUGGCGCAUGUCAUGGUGGUGGAAAGCUUUUGUGGUUUUGGAUGGACUCGCGGCCUAUCAGCUUGUUGGUGGGGUAAUGGCCUACCAAGGCGACGACGGGUAGCCGGCCUGAGAGGGUGACCGGCCACACUGGGACUGAGACACGGCCCAGACUCCUACGGGAGGCAGCAGUGGGGAAUAUUGCACAAUGGGCGCAAGCCUGAUGCAGCGACGCCGCGUGAGGGAUGACGGCCUUCGGGUUGUAAACCUCUUUCAGUAGGGAAGAAGCCGUAAGGUGACGGUACCUGCAGAAGAAGCGCCGGCUAACUACGUGCCAGCAGCCGCGGUAAUACGUAGGGCGCAAGCGUUAUCCGGAAUUAUUGGGCGUAAAGAGCUCGUAGGCGGUUUGUCGCGUCUGCUGUGAAAGACCGGGGCUCAACUCCGGUUCUGCAGUGGGUACGGGCAGACUAGAGUGCAGUAGGGGAGACUGGAAUUCCUGGUGUAGCGGUGAAAUGCGCAGAUAUCAGGAGGAACACCGAUGGCGAAGGCAGGUCUCUGGGCUGUAACUGACGCUGAGGAGCGAAAGCAUGGGGAGCGAACAGGAUUAGAUACCCUGGUAGUCCAUGCCGUAAACGUUGGGCACUAGGUGUGGGGGACAUUCCACGUUUUCCGCGCCGUAGCUAACGCAUUAAGUGCCCCGCCUGGGGAGUACGGCCGCAAGGCUAAAACUCAAAGGAAUUGACGGGGGCCCGCACAAGCGGCGGAGCAUGCGGAUUAAUUCGAUGCAACGCGAAGAACCUUACCAAGGCUUGACAUGAACCGGUAAUACCUGGAAACAGGUGCCCCGCUUGCGGUCGGUUUACAGGUGGUGCAUGGUUGUCGUCAGCUCGUGUCGUGAGAUGUUGGGUUAAGUCCCGCAACGAGCGCAACCCUCGUUCUAUGUUGCCAGCGGUUCGGCCGGGGACUCAUAGGAGACUGCCGGGGUCAACUCGGAGGAAGGUGGGGACGACGUCAAAUCAUCAUGCCCCUUAUGUCUUGGGCUUCACGCAUGCUACAAUGGCCGGUACAAAGGGUUGCGAUACUGUGAGGUGGAGCUAAUCCCAAAAAGCCGGUCUCAGUUCGGAUUGGGGUCUGCAACUCGACCCCAUGAAGUCGGAGUCGCUAGUAAUCGCAGAUCAGCAACGCUGCGGUGAAUACGUUCCCGGGCCUUGUACACACCGCCCGUCAAGUCACGAAAGUUGGUAACACCCGAAGCC
rnacentral:rRNA from 1 species